rnacentral:lncRNA from 1 species
UGGGGUACAUCUACCGACAGAAUACUGGGCCUCUAAGUGCAACUUCCCCUGUAAGGUGUAUGGUAAGAUGCAUCAUAACUAUGAAAAAUGAUGAUGGAAAUAUCUUCUCCAGAUCAUAUAAUAUAGUCACCGUCCUUGCCUUUAUUUUUUUCACAUCUUUCUUAAGUAACCUCUUUGUACAAAUAUCUCUAUAAAAAUUAUAAAGAUGAAUAACAGUCAUUCUCACAUUUUAUAGCAACACACGAUGAAUAACUAUUGAGAUCAACUCUUGCAUCAACACAUGAUAAUCAUGAGUCUUCAAUCCAC